CUAUAAGGGCAAUUUGGUUGUGACAUCUUUCAUCCCAUUGAUCACCAGAAUCAAUUUGGUUGAUCUGGCUGCACUUGGUCAAAGACAAUGACCUUCCCUUAUACAG
rnacentral:sRNA from 1 species